rnacentral:rRNA from 1 species
UACAGAGGGGGCAAGCGUUAUUCGGAAUUAUUGGGCGUAAAGGGCGCGUAGGCGGCUUUGCAAGUGACGGGUGAAAUCCCUCGGCUUAACCGAGGAACUGCCUGUCAAACUGCAUGGCUUGAGACCGGGAGAGGUGAGUGGAAUUCCCAGUGUAGCGGUGAAAUGCGUAGAUAUCGGGAGGAACACCUGAGGCGAAGGCGGGCUACUGGGCCGAUACUGACGCUGAGGCGCGAAAGCCAGGGGAGCGAACGGG